GCUGGGCAUGGUGGCGCGUGCCUGUAAUCCCAGCUACUCUGGAGGCUGAGGCAGGAGAAUUGCCUGAACCCAGGAGGCGGAGGUUGCGGUGAGCCGAGAUCGCGCCAUUGCACUCCAGCCUGGGUAACGAGCGAAACUCUGUCUCAAAAAAAAAAAAAAAAAGAAAGAAAUUCAACCUGGGCUGGUUUUUUUGUUUUUUUUUUUUUUUUUAGACAGAGUCUCCCUCUGUUGCCAGGCUGGAGUGCAGUGGUGCGAUCUCGGCUCACUGCAACUUCCACCUCCUGGGUUCAAGUGAUUCUCCUGCCUCAG
rnacentral:SRP_RNA from 1 species